rnacentral:rRNA from 1 species
AGUCUACGGGAGGCAGCAGUGGGGAAUAUUGCACAAUGGGCGCAAGCCUGAUGCAGCGACGCCGCGUGGGGGAUGACGGCCUUCGGGUUGUAAACUCCUUUCGUUAGGGACGAAGCCGCAUGUUUUUGAUGUGUGGUGACGGUACCUUUGUUAAGAAGCACCGGCUAACAACGUGCCAGCAGCCGCGGUAAUGACU